GAACAAUCCUAGUGAGCUCUCACAAUCCAUCAGUGAUAUCUAGCAGUAUGUAGUGGCAAUCCAGUAGAGCUGAAAUGAAUCUCUAAGUAUAGUUAACGUAUAAUUCAAUCCCUCUAUCGUGAGUCUCGACUUGAUGGCAGAUCAUUGAUCGGAAGCAUUUAAAAAUUAAAUAUAUGUCUCUAAUUCUCAACACCUUGAGAAUAUGUAUUGAAAACUAAUUCUAUGGAUGAUUUAAGGUACAUCAUAUUUGAAUAAA
rnacentral:lncRNA from 1 species